GGAAAAAUCAUGUCUUUCUUUUUCCCAGUAAAUGACCCAACACACUUUCACCUAAAAAAAAUGACUUCAUGAAAAAUUAUGGUAAUCUCUUCUAAAUUAUUGAGCAAGGCAAAGUUAUGGAAAAGCAACUCUUUCUCUCUCUCUUUGUACUGCUCCCCAACCAACAAAAAGAAAGCCUCCAUUGCAAACUGGAAUUUGAUUUGAAAGAGCGAAAGCAACGUAAGAGUUGAAGUGACCCAUCUGUACCCAUGUAGUGUGCUCUCUUUAUAAAAGCUCAAAUAUCUGCCUCCCUUUCUCUCUU
rnacentral:misc_RNA from 1 species